rnacentral:lncRNA from 1 species
AGAAUCUGAACAACCAAAGUAUCAUAGUCCUGAUUUUAUUGAUCAAAACCAUAUAUAUUGAACAUGAUCCUCACAUACAUUUCUGGAGAUAAAGUACCAUUCAGAAAUUAUGAACCCCAAAACUCUCUAGAUAACCAUUGUAGUUGUUCAUCUCUAACAAGAAAUCAUGCAACAACUAGAAAAGAGAUUUUCUUUUCAUAAUCUUCGGCCAUGACACACCAUCAUCAGUCCUUGUACUUAAGUGCAUAUCAUUCUUCACCAAUUACUAUAGCACCUCUUGAUGCUUGUAUUACGGUGGACCAUCAGUUCUACAAAAACAUAAUUGAUUUGUAAGUCAGAUAUAUUUACCUCUUAGGGAUUCUGCCAAAUUAAAUCAAAAGAGGAAAUUGUACACAAAAGUGUGUUAGUUAUAAGUAGUAUAUAUUAUGUACACCUAAUAUAUUUUCAGAGAUUGAUGCUCAAUAAUCAAGCGAUGCUUACAUCGACCCAUCUCCAGAAAUUGGAGUCAAUAGGCCAUCCAUGGAAGAGGUCAUUCUGCAAUCAUCAGACACAUUAAAUAUUCUUUUUAGUUGAGAAGACAAGACAAAAUUUUCAAUCGUGUACACGAUAAUAAGAACUUAGGUAGACAAACCCACGGUCCUUCCUUUCAGAUCUUUCAAGUAGAGAAAAUGAAAAUAUGUGUUGAUCACAAGUGUAGGCACUUACCUGGAUCAUGUGCAACACCCAUCUCCAAGAAUCCCUUGAGAAGACUGGUAUCAUCUAUCACCUGUACGACCCUGCAUCCAUGUUUGCAUCUACACUUUCAAAAUGAAAAAAUGCAAACAAAAAUGGUGCAGUGAAGAAUACAAUUAGUUAAUCACAUGUUGCACGGCUGCUUGUGGACGUCCCAGCAAUGCUCACGCCUAGAUCUGUUAGAUCUGUU